UACGUAGGGUCCGAGCGUUGUCCGGAGUUACUGGGCGUAAAGCGUGCGCAGGCGGCUUUGCAAGACAGAUGUGAAAUCCCCGGGCUUAACCUGGGAACUGCAUUUGUGACUGCAUGGCUGGAGUGCGGCAGAGGGGGAUGGAAUUCCGCGUGUAGCAGUGAAAUGCGUAGAUAUGCGGAGGAACACCGAUGGCGAAGGCAAUCCCCUGGGCCUGCACUGACGCUCAUGCACGAAAGCGUGGGGAGCAAACAGG
rnacentral:rRNA from 1 species